rnacentral:misc_RNA from 1 species
UUCUUCUGACUCCAAGCCCAUCAUCUCAGGAUUGUACCCAAGUGGCUCUUGCACCAGUAUCAGCGCCAAUGGCAGGGUCAGCAGAAAAUAGCAGAGGGGCCUGAAAACAGAUGGGAACAUCUGGAAAAGGAAAAAGGAGGGGGGAUGCACGGAGUUAGCACAUAUUAAGUGCCUGCUGUAGUCAAGCCCUGUUGGACACCAGGGACAUCUGGACCUUGACAACGGAGCGAAGGGGUGGUCCUGCCUGCACCAGGUUUCAGUGGCUUCUCAGGCUUCUCUGCAGCAUGGGUGUUCCUGCCUUGGCCAGAGCCGAAAUCCCAGAGCAGUGAAAGAGGAGCCAGUGUCAUGGGGCUUCUGGUU